GGGGGGGGGGGGGGGGGGGCUGGGGCGGUGGAGGCGGGGGGGCAGACGGGGAGCGUGCGCGUCUGGCGUUAGCGGCGGGCGGGUGAGUAACACGUGGAUAACCUACCUAUAAGACUGGGAUAACUUCGGGAAACCGGAGCUAAUACCGGAUAAUAUAUUGAACCGCAUGGUUCAAUAGUGAAAGACGGUUUUGCUGUCACUUAUAGAUGGAUCCGCGCCGCAUUAGCUAGUUGGUAAGGUAACGGCUUACCAAGGCGACGAUGCGUAGCCGACCUGAGAGGGUGAUCGGCCACACUGGAACUGAGACACGGUCCAGACUCCUACGGGAGGCAGCAGUAGGGAAUCUUCCGCAAUGGGCGAAAGCCUGACGGAGCAACGCCGCGUGAGUGAUGAAGGUCUUCGGAUCGUAAAACUCUGUUAUUAGGGAAGAACAAAUGUGUAAGUAACUAUGCACGUCUUGACGGUACCUAAUCAGAAAGCCACGGCUAACUACGUG
rnacentral:rRNA from 1 species